AGAGUUUGAUCCUGGCUCAGGAUUAACGCUGGCGGCGUGCCUAAUACAUGCAAGUCGGAUGGUUAGCUUGCUAACCAUGGCGAACGGGUGAGUAACACGUAGGUAACCUGUCUUAAAGACGAGGAUAACCAUUGGAAACGAUGGAUAAUACUGGAUAGGAUAUAUAAGGGCAUCCUGAUAUAUUUAAAGAUUUAUCACUUUAUGAGGGGCCUGCGGCGCAUUAGUUAGAUGGCGGUGUAAAGGACCACCAUGACGAUGAUGCGUAGCCGGACUGAGAGGUUGAACGGCCACAAUGGGACUGAGAACGGCCCAUACUCCUACGGGAGGCAGCAGUAGGGAAUUUUCGGCAAUGGACGGAAGUCUGACCGAGCAACGCCGCGUGAACGAAGAAGUAUUUCGGUAUGUAAAGUUCUUUUAUUUGGGAAGAAAAGAUAAGAUUGACUGUACCAAAUGAAUAAGCUCCGGCUAACUACGUGCCAGCCGCCGC
rnacentral:rRNA from 1 species